UGUAUUUGCAUUUUAAGGAUAAUGCAUUCCUCUUCUCCAUAGUUUUAUAGCUUUUAGCAGUGCUUGUAACCUACUAUUUUUUUCUUACAGAAGGUUUUGAUUAAAUGAUUCAGCAAUUUGGUUAAAUAAAUAAAUAAAUAAACGUCACAUCAGUGCCUGCCAGCACGGCUGAUUGUUAAGGAUGAUGGGAUCUGGAGUCUAGCAACAUCUAGAGGGCCACAGGUUCCCCACCCCCUGAUAAUAUUCUUAUAGAACAGGGAGGGGGAAUAAGCAGCUGAAAAUCUUCUUCAAUGUAUUCUAAAAAAAACCCUUUCAGCACAAUCCUUAUGUGUCUACUUGGAAGUAAGCUCCAUUGCGUUCAGCUGAUAUGGAAUACCAGCUGUAUCGAGUAAUCUCAGACACCCUUCCCACACCACCAGCCCACACUGUUUACCUGUUUCCUUUGCGAAGGGAAGGAUGGGUGAAAAACACAACGUUAAACAGGGAAGUCAAAAUAAUUAGGGCGCUUCAGUGAAACAGCUGACAAUUAAAGAUCUAACGAUUAAUUUUUAUUUCCUGGAAUUGAGCAAGAGUUAUUUCCUCUAUGCACGCCAACAAACCAUAUAAAAAGGGAUGUCUCCCAACAGAUUGUUCCAGAAGCAUCUGAUACUCUGAAAGUAUCUCUUUGGAUCCAGCAGGAAGCCAGAUCUACCCUCCCUGCUCCAACAUGUCUUUCCUGAAUGACAGUAUGUUGUUGGAAGACUUCUAUGAGCCAGAAAUGGAUGCUCACACCAGCCUUGACUCCUUCUCUUAUCAGUAUCCAGGCUGCUACCCACAACGUCCACAGUUUCCUGGCCGGAGUUGGGGAUGUCCUCGGGGGUAUCGCCCCAUCACAGGGUGCAUCCCCUGCUAUCCUGGUCUGCCGUGUCCUCCAGGGUACCGUGUCAUAAGGAUUUGUGUCCCUUUUGGCCGAGCUUCCUACCAAGGAAAAGGCUGGCCAUGUUAAUCUCAGAAACAACACUGACGGAACAUCCAAGGAAGAAGAUUCUGAUCUCAAGAUUCUGAUCCUCGGCUUAAUGAAUGAACAUGGUAUUCAGAAAUGCUGAGUGCUCCAGAAUCCCCACUGUGCAACCUGUGGGAUUUGCAAGGCCUCAGCACUUCUCUUACCAAUCCAGAUGCUGCUUUUACUUUAUUCCUUUCAGUUUUCCCUAUCUUGGCAUGGUUAUCUUAAGAGCAGGCUCCUGUUUCCCAGCCACACCUAUCACCUUCUAUUCCACCCAUUACUGAUGAACCAGGACCCUCUACCACAGCUACUUCAACUAUGAAAGAUACUAAGUCAACAUGGCCAAAGUGAAGACUGGUGGUAAACCCUGUUGGCUUAGCCUACAGUGAUUUAUUAGCUUUGUCUUUGUGAUGUCUACAUGUCAACAUGUCUGAUUAUUGUUUUUCAGUGUUCCAUGUUGCAUUUAUCUCCAGCUGCCCUGAGUCAUUUCCACUGACUCCUUCCUUCAUUUUCACAUUAAAGUUUUCAGCAUAUUA